GAUACCCUAUUAUUCCAGAGUAAUCUUCCCUGAGGUAGUAGUUGUUAUAAGCUUGAAACCUAAAGAAUUUGGCGGUGCUUUUUCUAAUCAGAGGAACCUGUUUGUUAAUAGAUAAGCCACUUUAUCUCUUUCUUUAGAUUAGUUUGUAUACCGUCAUCUAGAAUGAUUUUUUUAUAAAUUAUUUUUAUGGUGAGAGCACAAAAGUUAGAUCAAGGUGCAGCUUUUUAAAGAUCUAAAUGGGUUACAAUUAAAAUCAGAGUAGAAGUUUCCUUGUUAAGAGAACAGAAAACGGAUUUGAAAGUAAUUUAAGUUUAGUAUGCUAAAAUGAGUGAAGUUCAAAGUAUGUACACAUCGC
rnacentral:rRNA from 1 species